ACAGCAGCAGCCGCGGUAAUACAGAGGGUGCGAGCGUUAAUCGGAUUUACUGGGCGUAAAGCGUGCGUAGGCGGCUUCUUAAGUCGGAUGUUAAAUCCCUGAGCUUAACUUAGGAAUUGCAUUCGAUACUGGGAAGCUAGAGUAUGGGAGAGGAUGGUAGAAUUCCAGGUGUAGCGGUGAAAUGCGUAGAGAUCUGGAGGAAUACCGAUGGCGAAGGCAGCCAUCUGGCCUAAUACUGACGCUGAGGUACGAAAGCAUGGGGAGCAAACAGGAUUAGAUACCCGAGUAGUCCCUGUCUCUUAUAA
rnacentral:rRNA from 1 species